rnacentral:rRNA from 1 species
UUAGCCCUAAACAUAGAUAAUUAUGUAAACAAAAUUAUUCGCCAGAGUACUACUAGCAACAGCUUAAAACUCAAAGGACUUGGCGGUGCUUCAUAUCCUUCUAGAGGAGCCUGUUCUGUAAUCGAUAAACCCCGAUAAACCUCACCAAUUCUUGCUAAUACAGUCUAUAUACCGCCAUCUUCAGCAAACCCUAUAAAGGAACAAAAGUAAGCACAAUCAUAAUACAUAAAAAAGUUAGGUCAAGGUGUAACCUAUGAAAUGGGAAGAAAUGGGCUACAUUUUCUUAAACUAAGAAAAUUAACACACGAAAACCAUUAUGAAAUUAAUAGUUAAAGGAGGAUUUAGCAGUAAACUGAGAAUAGAGUGCUUAGUUGAAUCAGGCCAUGAAGCACGC